CUGCCUAUGUCUCUGCCUCUCUCUCUCUCUCUCUCUCUGUGUGACUAUCAUAAAUAAAUAAAAAAUAAAAAAAAAUAAAAAAAAAAGAUUGAGCAAAAUAGAAAUUAAUUUUUCUAACAUGUAAAUAAUUGAGUCCAAGUUGAGAGGAAGCCUAAGAAUUACUUGUAAUCAAAUAGUGUGAUUCAACAGGAAAAAGACAAAUCAGGAAAUGAAAAGUGUAAAAAUAUAACUUGUUAGUAUGUUAAUUUGGUAUGUGCUAAUUAACAGUGUUUCGCAAAUUUAGGAAAUUAUAAAAGCAGGUGUUUAAUGUCAGAGGAAGAAAAAGACUGUGGGGCCAGAGAAAUAGUUGAACUCUUGCACAAGAGUGAGCAUAGAAUUUACAAAAUGAUAGAAAAUACUUGUCUGUAUGGAGUAUACAAAUGUACAUUGCAGGCUGUAAGGUAAGAGAGAAGGAGAAAUGUUUUGCAGUGAGACCAGGCAAAGCAAAGGGGCAGAUCUUGCCUUAGACUCCUGAGUUGGUUAAUCCUGAGAAUUGCAAAGUGACCUUGAGGUAACCAUAGUAUUUCUCAGCAUGCCUUACAUUUAAAUAAAAGUAUUAGCUCCAGUAUGGAGUGAGGGUAAAUGAUACUUUAAGCCUCUGAUGUUGCCCCUUUCUAGGCCUUGGAUUCCAGGUGACUUUAUUUCUAGGGUGGUUAUCGUGAAAGGUGUGGAUGGAGCGUGGAUUUUGAGUUAGGACUGAGGGAGAGCUGUGCCAAGAAGAGGGCCGGACAUACUGUGGAGAAAUCAUCAGAUGUCACUGAAUAUAAUUGUGUUCUUUAUUAAGCGCUGAUGCGGUGAAUUUUUAAAAGACCCCCAAAGUGAGAAUGAUUACAUGUCCCAGAUCAAACUAUUUUUUAGAGUUUUUUAUUUUUAUUUUUUUAAAUCUCAUCAUAUCAUAUGUUCUGCUACAUUUGAUUGACUUCACUCUGGGUUACCAGACUGAGUCUGCUCUGGUAGCCCCAGAGCAGCUAUGGUAAAAUAUCCCCAGCGAUGGGGUAUCCAGGGUGGCAUUCUUGGCAGCCAGUUGGCCCCAUCACACGGUCCCAUUUGGAGACAGGGCCAUCGGUUUAGUGAUGGAGCUAUUUGGGUGGAGAGAGGACAAGAGGGAGACUCAGAUAUUUUGAAAAGUUUAGAGGAGGAAGAAAACGAUGGGUGGGGGAAGGAAGAUGACCUGUUGCAGCUAAUCCUGCAAAGUCAGGUCAUCAUUACAGUGGGUGACACCUUACAGUUUACAGAUCUCUUUCACAGCAUUGUAUGAUGUAAUUGAGCCUCACAAUACCUUGUGAAGUCAGAUGAGAUUCAAGGUCUGAUAUAUUUUAGCUGGAUGUAUAUAUGUUAUAUAUAUGUCAUACGUAUUAUGGUAUUAACGAUUUGAGUAAGAGGUCAAUUUUAACUUAUAGUCUUAACAUGUGGCAAAUAAUUUUGGCAGAUCACUGUUGUAGAUCUGGAUUGCCAGUAUAUUUUGGGGGGAGAUAGUGGAGAUAAAGAACUUACCAAAUACUGAAGUUCUGGUGGUAAUUGUUGGAAUAGAGAAAACUCUGUGUAUCUGUAAGAGAGAAAGAAGUGUGAAUGGAGGCUUAUAAAAUCCUGUUUUGUUUUUGGUCAAUUUGUUGAUUGACCUUUUCUCUAUAUUUUUCCCACUGUACGAUAUAGGCAUCCAAUGGAGUGAAGGAAUAUGUCUGGGAAAAGAGUAGUUUCAAAUAUUAGCUUAUUUAAUCCUCCCAUAGUUCUGUGCUAUGAUGAACCCCAUUUUAUAGAUGAAGAAAUAAGUGGAGUUUUCAGCAUUGGGCCUUUGUAAGAAUACGACUUUUAGGGGGAAGAAGGUGAGUAACAACGAAACAAGCAAAUCAAGGAUUGAUUUUAUUUUAAAGCUGCCACUUGAACGCUUUAGGUUUAGGACAUAAAUAUUUAACUCAUUUGUCUGUCCUGUCUACUUUUACACCCGUAAUGAGCAUCAGUCUUCAUCACGAGAACCCAGAAAAUACUGAGACAAUCUGCUGUGGAAGAUUCCUUUUAAUAAGGAAGGCAUAUGGAACUAGGAAUCUUGAAUCUGUAUUUUAGGCCCUGUCAGUUAACUAAUUUUAGAUAUGUCACUUUACAUAAAUGAGUUCCCUUCUGUGUAAAAUGUGUGUUGUGCUUAGUUUUAAAAUUCCAUGAUCCUGUGUUUGUUUCAUUAGCUGAAGAAGCUGCCCCAAAUUCUUUCUGGACUGAGUUGGAGGGAAUAUAAAUAAAAACUUGAGGGAGGAAAAAUGGACUAAUAAAUUUUGAAGAAGUUUGCAACAAUGAGAAUUGAAACUGCCUUUCUUUAAUCUGAAGCAGCUAAGCAAAAUAACCACAUGCCCUGAAAAUUGCAGUUAACGCUGGUUUCCCUGAAUUCUGUCCCUUUAUCUGUAGGAAGUAGUAGUGUGGUGGUGGGGUGGCAGAGGCACGAUUGGGUCUGCAGCCAGACUCCGCCAGCCCUGUGCUCUUUGGCAGAUUACUGUUUUUCUUCAAGCCCCAGUCUCCUCAUCUGUAAAACAAAUAAUAAAUAACACCUACUUGUAGAUUAUUGUGAAGAUUAAAACACAUAAAGUCUCUGUAAAGCGCCUGGCUCCUCGUAUGUUUGUUACACCUUUCCUCUCCACGCGUUAGGAACUGUAUGUAAGUUAACAUCUGUUCAUAUGUAUUCCAGUUUUCAUCUUUAGGACUUCCUUUUUUAGGAAGGGAAAUAGGAGGUUGAGGUUCAGUCAUAUGCCCACACAGUGAUUAAAUUAGGAUUAAAAAAUCUAGUUUUGAAUUUGGAGUCAGAAGUGGUUUUUCUGCCUCUUUACAGCUUCAAGAGUUCUUUUGUCCCCUGCUUUAAAACUUCCUGUGUUGGCCCUGCCUUGAGAGGUACAAAUAACCCUAGUCUCUGUUUAUGGGGGGGUCCAUCAGGGCUGACUUUCCAGGGAAGUCAUCAAAACGACUCACACACACACAGCUUUUGCCUGCAGUUAACAGGUGAGAUUCCACAAUGAGAGAACUUGAUAAGAUUUCUUUAAAAUAAAACAAGCCAUAACCACAGUCCUUGCGAGAGGGAUCAUUUCAUGAUUUUAAGGAUGACAUGGGUCUAGCCUGAAGCCCAGCUUUGGUAAAUAUGUAGGGUGUGGAAAAGGAGGGCGAGGAUCACUAGUGUGUGAAAGGUAGAAUCAGGAUUCAGGAGAUCCGAAUAGGCGCCAGCAUGCACGCCUUCUUCUUUCUGGGCUUAUCAGAAUCCUAACCAUUCUUCCAAUUCUGUGUCCCAUGCACCUUGCGAAUAAAUCUUUCUCUGAAUCCUCUCCGAAGUGACUGAUUUCUUAUUUGAACCACAGAAACAUUUUGGAUUUGAUAUAGUUCCGGCAUUUAUUCUGCUUAUCUAUGUAUCAGGCAGGGUUCUGGUGGGAGCCAGGUUGAACUAGGUAACCAAGGAGACCUUAAGAACUAUUUACUGAGAUAAGGGCAGGUUUAGGGAAAUCAGCAAGGAGGAGCCCAGUCCCCCAGGACCAGCUCCACUAGGCCUAGAGAGACUGGGAGGAAAUGGAGCAGAACCCUAAGGGGGAGCCCGGGGGGCUGCUCCCAGAGGCCUCCUUGAGAAGGGGGUGGGAGAGGUGAAUGAUCCCUUGCACCCCUCCCAUCCUCCAUCUCCUGCUGGUGUCUCCUUCAAGGGCGCUUGAUGCUUUGGGGCCGCAGAAUUGAAGUGGAGGGUGGAUCUGGAAGGGCAUUUAAAUACCCACAACAAUAUGAUUACUAAACCAUUGCAGUCAGUCUGCUGCCUCCAACACUAACAGCCGAGUCCAGCGGCGACUUGAAGAGAUGCACUCAUCGGUCACUUGCCUGUGUCACACUCCUCGUGGCCUCCACGCUGCCUGCGGCGGUGCGCUUUCAAGUGUGGCUCUGAGACCGCUUGUAUCAAAAGUCCCUCGGGGCUGUUGUUAAAAAUACAGAUUCCCAGUGUCUACGUAGAACCUCCUGCAUGAGAUGAGGGCCAGGGAACUAGUGUUUUUGACCAGGCUCUUUCCUACCCCCACCCCCAACCCCACUCCCCAUCAGAGAGCUUUUUAAGAGUCUCUAUAUUAACUCAAAGGCUAGAAACAUGUGAUGUGUUUUUAAAACGUUUGUAUUUGAUUAUUUAAUGUGUAGCCUCUAAAAUAGAACACAGGAUUAUGGUGCUAUUAGCAGUAGGAUCGCAAGAUUUGGAAAAAUAAAAUUCAUCGUGUUCUCCAGGUGGUAUGGUCCUGGAAUGGCGUUCGUUUUUUGUUGAAUGAGGUACACGCCUCGCUUCAAUCCUAUUGUUUAUCUCUCGUGACUGUGUAUGACCUCAGGUAUAGACAGUGUCAGGAGUCAGAAGGUGGGCUCCUCCCCGGAUAUGAGGCCUGCCUGGUGAGAGGUGCUGUCCCCGAUUGCCAGCCCUACUUUGAGAACCUCGGACGGCGGGCUGAGAACCUCUUAGUGUGGCCGCUCACUCCCUUAUAUUAUCCAGAGCACGGCCGCCCCAGCCAGACCCGGCGACAGCGUGCCCAAGGCCUCACGUCUACAGGUGGUGGAGCGGGAGUUUCAAGCCCGGUCAGCUCCUGCUUGCGGUACCUGUGUCCUCAGUCACUUGAUGUUCCUUCCGAUGCUUUUCCUGUCUUUUGACUCCGCCUUGGAGUAAGCUGUUUCCCCUGCAGCCCUCCUGCUCCGCCUCUCCCCUCCGCUCCGGGCUCCCACCCGUUGGUCCCUCCGUGGGAGUGGAGCAGAAGCUCCCCGGUCAUCCGGAUCUGUCUUUGGGAGGCGUUAAUGGGCACAUCUCGGGGCUCCCCCCUUUCCUGGGGCUCCUUCUCACAUGUGGUUUCCUGCCCACUCUAGGAAGCCCUGUUUGGUUUCGGGGGGUUUGGCCAGAUGAUUUCAUUUGCUUAUUUUAUUUCAUUUAUUUCAUUUUCUCCCUGCUGGGCCAUCAGUUGCCUAUGAAUCGGGGCCUCCUCUUACUCACAUGUGCUCCUCAUGCUUCGGACCAGCACUGGCUCACUUAGGCCGCGCUUGGGACGAGGGCACCCCUGCGGCCAAGAGCACAGAUUGGCACCGGUGACCGUCACUUACUAGCUGUGGCCUUGGCAUCCACAGAUAUCUGCCCAGCUGGCCAGGGGCUCCUCACGUGGGGUUCAGGUCCCCCGUGACUUGGUGACCUCCAGCAUCCCCAGCCUGUGAGGCUUACUGAAGCCUGUACAGCCGACCCGUCGUUCCCAGGGAAGCUCCACCAAGCCUUUUGGCUGACUAUUUUUUUGGUAACUUAAAAGGAGAUUGGGAAAGCCUAGAAGAACUUUGGAGGGCUGCGACGAUUGUUCCAAAGGAAACGAAGAUAACCCCGAGAGGUACCAGCAUUCUCAGCGAAAUGACUGCAGCGUCUGGUGAUACGGGAGAUUAGGAGUGGUUGAGAAGAGAGGCUUUAUCAAGAGAUUGGGAAGAAAGCGUAAUUGAAGACUGCGUAAUUGUCUUUAUUCAGAAAGAACAAAGGGCUGCCGCAGGUGCUGUGCCCUCUCCCCUUCCAGAAGGACUCCUUUGGGGUAUAUGCCCCCUGGCCCAGGACCAGCCGAUCCAGGGAAGCCCGGGCCAGCAGCAGGUGCCACCACUGGAUCCCCUCUGGCAGCCAGCGUCCUUGUGGACUGAGGAAGCCAGGGGACCCCCAGCUGCCAAACAGAUGGACCUGACUUUUCUGUGAAGGCGCAGGCCUCUGACCAGCUCGCCUUGCCCCUGUCUAGGCAGUGGACAAAAUGUCACAUACUUUAUUUUAAUCCACAACCCCAUAGAAACUUAGUUUUUAGAGGAUUUCUGUGUGAAACUAGGUAUUUGUGGAAGACUGGACUUACAGAUAAUGUGUAAUUUUAGGUAUAUUUAAGUUACUCAGUUAUAUGUGUAUUAAAUAACUCUCUGCUUAUACAAACAAACUCUGAAUCCUUUUCCUUUUUUAAAAAAAUAUUUU